rnacentral:rRNA from 1 species
CCUACGGGAGGCAGCAGUGAGGAAUAUUGGUCAAUGGGCGGGAGCCUGAACCAGCCAAGUCGCGUGAAGGAAGAAGGUACUUAGUAUUGUAAACUCCUUCUGUCGGGGUACAAAGGCGGAGACGCGUCUCCGGAUGAGUGUACCCGAUGAAAAAGCACCGGCUAACUCCGUGCUAGCAGCCGCGGUAAUACGGAGGAUGCGAGCGUUAUCCGGAUUUUGUGGGUCUAAAGGGUGUGAUGGCGGGAGAUAAAGUCAGCGGUAAAAUGUCGGGGCUAAACCCCGGCCGGCCGUUGAAACUGGGUUUCUAGAGUGGAGGAGAGGUAUGCGGAAUUCGUGGUGUAGCGGUGAAAUGCAUAGAGAUCACGAAGAACUCCGAUGGCGAAGGCGGCAUACCGGCUCCAUACUGACGCUGAGGCACGAAAGCGUGGGGAUCGAACAGGAUUAGAUACCCUGGUAGUC